GAUGAACGCUAGCUACAGGCUUAACACAUGCAAGUCGCGGGGCAGCAUGGGGGUUGCUUGCAAUCCCCGAUGGCGACCGGCGCACGGGUGAGUAACGCGUAUCCAACCUGCCCUUCACCACGGGAUAACCCGGCGAAAGUCGGACUAAUACCGCAUGUUGUCCAUUGACGGCAUCCGAUUUGGACGAAAGGUUUGGCGGUGAAGGAUGGGGAUGCGUCCGAUUAGCUGGACGGCGGGGUGACGGCCCACCGUGGCGACGAUCGGUAGGGGUUCUGAGAGGAAGGUCCCCCACACUGGAACUGAGACACGGUCCAGACUCCUACGGGAGGCAGCAGUGAGGAAUAUUGGUCAAUGGGCGUAAGCCUGAACCAGCCAAGUAGCGUGCAGGAUGACGGCCCUAUGGGUUGUAAACUGCUUUUAUGCGGGGAUAAAGUGGCCCACGUGUGGGUUUUUGCAGGUACCGCAUGAAUAAGGACCGGCUAAUUCCGUG
rnacentral:rRNA from 1 species